rnacentral:tRNA from 1 species
ACCUGGGUGGCUCAGUCGGUUAAGCGUCUGACUUUGGCUCAGGUCACGAUCUCACGGUUUGUGAGUUUGAGCCCCACGUCAGGUU